rnacentral:misc_RNA from 1 species
GAUGAAGAACGCAGUGAAUUGCGAUAAGUAAUGUGAAUUGCAGAUUUUCAGUGAAUCAUCGAAUCUUUGAACGCACAUUGCGCCCGCUGGUAUUCCGGCGGGCAUGCCUGUUCGAGCGUCAUUUCAACCCUCAAGCUCUCCGGAGUUUGGUGUUGGGGCGCCUGGGGCUUUUCGACCUCAGGGCCCUCAAGUCCAUCGGCGGGACCGCCAGGACACUGAGCGCAGUAGUAUUAUUUCGCUCGGUAGGAUCUUCCACGGCGGGUCGAUCUGGCCGCUAAACCCCCCAAUUCUCACCAAAGGUUGACCUCGGAUCAGGUAGGAAUACCCGCUGAACUUAAGCAUAUCAAUAAGCGGAGGA